UACGUAGGGGGCUAGCGUUAUCCGGAAUCAUUGGGCGUAAAGCGCGCGUAGGUGGCCCUGUAAGUCCGUUGUGAAAGUCAAAGGCUCAACCUUUGAAAGCCGAUGGAUACUGCAGGACUAGAGUACGGAAGAGGCGAGUGGAAUUCCUGGUGUAGCGGUGGAAUGCGCAGAUAUCAGGAGGAACACCAAUAGCGAAGGCAGCUCGCUGGGACGUUACUGACACUGAGGCGCGAAAGCGUGGGGAGCGAACAGG
rnacentral:rRNA from 1 species